rnacentral:lncRNA from 1 species
UUCUCUCCUCUGACUCUUCUCUUCUCUUGGUUUUCUCUCUUUUUCUCCAAAAACAGGUUUCACGUAAUCCUUAUUUUCUAAUUCUAACUCUCCCUUUUAUAUAAAUCACUAACCUAUUUAUUUUCUCUUAUUUCCAAAUCUGCCCUCCCAGUCUCAAUAUUCUAUUAUAAUACAUGUAACCUAUAUUUUCAUCAAAGGAUACAAGUUCUCUCUUAAGUACGGGGGUUUCCACUCGAUUUGUUGCAGGUGCGGAUGUUAUGGUCACAAGAAAGAGCGUUGUGGAAAACUCCUUGGAGAAACAAACAUUAUUAUGAAAAAUACAACGGUGGUACUAGUGAAAGGCGAGGAGAAGACAAGCCCUAAUUAAGUCAUGGUAGAGAAGGUCCUUGCAUUAAAUAGUAUCUCAAGUCUUUAAAAAAAUUAACGGAUUUUGACACAUUAACAUGUUUCUCAAAUAUCGUUUUAUUAUUUGUGAUUUUUGUCCCAAUCCAAAUUUUGGCUAUAUAUAGUAUUUUAUCUUCAUAUUUAAAAUUGAAGCAAUAAAUUACCACUUAUUGAGAUAAAAAAGUUCACUUAUAUAAAGUGAUAAAAUUGAGGACAAAACUACAACUAAACAUAUAAAGUACUAUAAAUAAUUAAUAUAAUCUUAAAAAAAAAACAUCACUCCCUUGUACAUCACUCCCUUAUUAGGGUUCGGUGGGGUUCUUAAAAAAACU